rnacentral:lncRNA from 1 species
UACUGAGAAGAUCACAUACUGCAUGUCCUCCUAAAACCUGGUCCUGGCAUAACCUUCUAAGCUGUUUUAUUCAGGUUUGGCAGAUACAUCAAGCCAGUUCAUUAAUGCACAGAUGAUUCCUUCACAUUAAGAAAGACACGUUGGAGCACCAUAAAUGUCAAGGCAGUUAUUACACACAAAAAGCAUAAAAUGGCAACCAUCAAAA